GGUGUGUCCAAUUUGCCAAAAAGAAUUCCCUAUAUCUGUGCUGGCUAACCAUGGCAGUGAGUGUGCAGAAAGGGCAUACAGAGAGCCUGUAAAGGAGAACGUGAAUGGCCCAGGUCCUUCAUGGCCUUUGCAACCAGAUAUAGAUGCGCCAGGUACAUCAUCUGGAUAUGUUGUGGACAGAUCUCCACUAGUACCAGUUGAAACAGCUUCAUUGAUGUCAUGGAAAACAGCAGACACCCCACAGAAAGCUAUGCAGCUGUUUCUUGAAGAGCUGA